rnacentral:rRNA from 1 species
GCAAGUCGAACGGUAACAUUUCUAGUUUGCUAGAAGAUGACGAGCGGCGGACGGGUGAGUAACGCGUAGGAAUCUGCCUAGUAGUGGGGGACAACAUGUGGAAACGCAUGCUAAUACCGCAUACGCCCUACGGGGGAAAGGAGGGGAUCUUCGGACCUUUCGCUAAUAGAUGAGCCUGCGUGAGAUUAGCUAGUUGGUGGGGUAAAGGCCUACCAAGGCGACGAUCUCUAGCUGGUCUGAGAGGAUGAUCAGCCACACUGGGACUGAGACACGGCCCAGACUCCUACGGGAGGCAGCAGUGGGGAAUAUUGGACAAUGGGCGCAAGCCUGAUGCAGCCAUGCCGCGUGUGUGAAGAAGGCCCUAGGGUUGUGAAGCACUUUCAGCAGUGAGGAAAGGUUAGUAGUUAAUACCUGCUAGCUGUGACGUUAACUGCAGAAGAAGCACCGGCUAACUCCGUGCCAGCAGCCGCGGUAAUACGGAGGGUGCGAGCGUUAAUCGGAAUUACUGGGCGUAAAGCGCGCGUAGGUGGAUUGGUCAGUCAGAUGUGAAAGCCCAGGGCUCAACCUUGGAACUGCACCUGAUACUG